rfam:Gossypium hirsutum cultivar TM-1 unplaced genomic scaffold scaffold1039.1, whole genome shotgun sequence
AACCCAUGGUGAGGGCACCUAAUUAGUAAGUCCUUGUAUCUCUCCCAUGCAUCAUAAAGAGUUUCUAAGUCCAUCUACACAAACGAAAAGAUAUCAUUACGUAAUUU